GGAAUAAGCUUGUAUGGAUAGUAGGAGGUGGAAGUUUUGGGGGAAAUCAUGAAGGCUAACAACAUUGUGAUAUGUGAUCCUAGGAUUUUAAGCAAAUGAAAAUAGCUCUUGAAACCUUUGCAUAGGGACUUGACCAUUCCAUAGAUCUUGCCAAAAAAGGAUUAUUGAUCCCUCUUGUACUGAUCCUGAUGCUAUGCCUUUGAAAUUGUCAAGAAGUUUCACAAUGUUCCUCCACCAGAAGGACCCUUUCUUCUGGUAUCCUGGCAAAUGACCAUUGGCAUAGUAGUUGUCCCAGACUAAGUGUACCCAAGGGAUAUCAGCCCUUGAGUAGAACUUGUGCAGGAAUUGCAACAAAAGAGCAUCUUUAUGAGUUGAAAUGUUAAUUAC
rnacentral:lncRNA from 1 species